CAGCCGCCACGGUAAUACAGAGGGUGCGAGCGUUAAUCGGAUUUACUGGGCGUAAAGCGUGCGUAGGCGGCUUUUUAAGUCGGAUGUGAAAUCCCUGAGCUUAACUUAGGAAUUGAAUUCGAUACUGGGAAGCUAGAGUAUGGGAGAGGAUGGUAGAAUUCCAGGUGUAGCGGUGAAAUGCGUAGAGAUCUGGAGGAAUACCGAUGGCGAAGGCAGCCAUCUGGCCUAAUACUGACGCUGAGGUACGAAAGCAUGGGGAGCAAACAGGAUUAGAUACCCCCGUAGUCCCUGUCUCUUAUAC
rnacentral:rRNA from 1 species